GAAACUCUUUUCCAUUAAUCACAUUACUAUGGUCAUAGACUUAAAGACUCAGCUUCUUAAAUCUUAUAGGACUACUCUUUUCUGCUAGGAUCAAUAGAUUUCAUCUAGGUACACAUCCUACUUUUACAGUAGAUCAACUGUCGCCAAUAUCCACUACAAGGACUCAUUGAGUCAAUAUUUAUGUGUAGUCAAACUCCAACAGCCUCACUGCGAGCAGCUGU
rnacentral:lncRNA from 1 species